CCGACCUUAGCUCAGUUGGUAGAGCGGAGGACUGUAGUGGUGCAGCUGAAAUCCUUAGGUCGCUGGUUCGAAUCCGGCAGGUCGGA
rnacentral:tRNA from 1 species